UACGGAGGGGGCUAGCGUUGUUCGGAAUUACUGGGCGUAAAGCGCACGUAGGCGGCUUUGUAAGUUAGAGGUGAAAGCCCAGGGCUUAACCCUGGAAUUGCCUUUAAGACUGCAUCGCUAGAAUCGUGGAGAGGUAAGUGGAAUUCCGAGUGUAGAGGUGAAAUUCGUAGAUAUUCGGAAGAACACCAGUGGCGAAGGCGACUUACUGGACACGUAUUGACACUUAGGUGCGAAAGCGUGGGGAGCAAACAGG
rnacentral:rRNA from 1 species